UACGAAGGGGGCAAGCGUUGUUCGGAAUUACUGGGCGUAAAGGGCGCGUAGACGGCUUAUCAAGUCAGGCGUGAAAUUCCCGGGCUCAACCUGGGGGCUGCGCUUGAUACUGAUGAGCUUGAAUGCGGGAGAGGAUAGUGGAAUUCCCAGUGUAGAGGUGAAAUUCGUAGAUAUUGGGAAGAACACCGGUGGCGAAGGCGGCUAUCUGGCCCGUAAUUGACGCUGAGGCGCGAAAGCGUGGGGAGCAAACAGG
rnacentral:rRNA from 1 species